CACAUACGGCCACAUACAGACUUCACAGCUGGUGCACUCGACUGCAGCUGUGUCGAGUGUUUGCAGACUUGUCCUACAUAAAGCAAUAGUUGCAGCACUUCUCACUAGUGUCAUUUUUUUAGAAAUAAAAACGGUUCAAGACUAAACAAGAGCGAGAGGUAGGACAAUCAUAGCUGGUUGGUAAGCUGAAUCACGCGUCAACAUGUUCCAACUUAAGACGGUGCUGCUAAUCGCUAGCAUAAGCGCAGUUUUACUAAUAUCAACUACUUUUGGUGAGGAAAUCAACACCGACAGAAUGUUCUACAAGACCAACAACGUUCCAUGCACUCCAAACACUACUGUUACCAUGUUAGGACCAUACCCUUCAGUAAACUGCACAGCGUCACCCUAUGUUUGGUGUAAGCGAUAUCUAGGUAUUUGGCAUACUGCUGGUUUCUUCUGUACCUCAUUUGUAUAAUUGCGAAACUGUACCUGUAAUUUCUACAUGUUACGACAAAAUUAUCAGCAGUUUGCAAAUUUCCAGUAUACCCUCCAGCUCGCUUUGUUUCCAUACAUCCAAGUUAAAAUCUGACGCAAAUCACCAUCCUAUCAGCUAUGUCACUCCGUGGCAGUUUGUCAAUAUUUUAAUACACACACGCUUGUUGAUUGAA